UGUACAUGUGUGGUUUGAAGAUCAACGGUGUUGGUGGCUGAAUCUUUCUUUUUCCAUUUGUUUGGAUUGGAAGUGUGGUGAACCUGGCUGUUGUUUUCCAUUGCAAGGAGGUAGUAGUAGUUGUCCACAUAAUCCUCGAGGUCCUCCACUCUGAUCAGCAUGUGGUAUCUUCCUGUAUGUUAUUCCUUGAUAAUCCUGAAUUUUUUGCUAUGUUUUAGGUUAUUUUUGGUUGAAAAGGCAGGAGAAAAUUUGUAGUCUGAUUUAGCAGCUGGGCACUGCCAUGUUUAAUCCAAAUCUCAUCUCAGCGGUAUCGCGAUCUCAGCACACCUCAGACAUCUCAGUCAUAAUAUAUGAUAUAUACUUAACAUUUACAAUAAGUCUUUGCUGUAAGUGGGGGUAAGAACAUCAGUUAAACAUCAGGGAUAUCAAUCUGUCCAUUAAGGAAGCACGAGUGAUUGUGAAUGAAUUUCAACUUGCAAAUGAAAGUGACAAUGGAAGGCAAAAGCAAGACAACCCCCUGAACAAGAGAAUGGUUUUUGCCAGUGGUGACCACAGACAAUUGCUCUCUCCUGAUCCUUCCUGACUGAUUUUCUGUGAUCUUUUUGUGUCCUUGUCACUACUGGUAGCAUGAGGUGGUAGCUGCAACCUAAUCAGGUUGCUACCUGUGCAACCUGUAGCCCAAUCAGGCUCAGACUCCAUGAAGUUGGUAUGAAGGCCCAAUGUCCUCUAGUGGGACCUGUGGAUCUGCAAUCCCUCCCUGUGAUUGGCUUACACUGAUAAAUAUUCAUUGAUUUAACCAAUCAUCAUAGUCACUUUAAAAAGGGCGGUAACAUUGGUUCAUGCAGGGUAAAUUAUACACAAGACCAGAAUACAGCAACGAGAGACAUGGCAGAAAAGGCAGUAGGUGACAGACACACAUCACACGUAUGGAGGUACUUCACUCUAGACCACACAAACAGCAUGGUGACCUGCACAAUCUGCAAGUCGGUCUUAAAGUACAAUAAAAAUUCUAGCGUUAUGCACGGCCAUCUGAAUCGGCAUCCGCUAGCUAACCUGAGUGAUGCUGGCACUACAGGGAGUCGUCAUUUUUUUUCAUCCAAAUUUCAUUGUUAAAGAUGUGAGACCUUUGGCUGCAGUACAAGGCGAAGGCUUCAAAGAAAUUCUAAAUGUUUUUGAACCAGACUACACAGUCCUGAGCCACACCACACUCUGGACUAUGAUCAACCGGCAAUGUGACGCCCUGCGAGAGAGCGUCAAGGAGGAGAUGCAAGGCAGGAGUGUGUCGUUAACAACCAACCUGUGGACAUCUCCAACCAUGGAGCCGUACAUUACAGUAACUGCUCAUUACAUCACAAACACAGCUGAUUGCUGUGUUAUCUCCCCUGGCAAAAGCUACAAAAGUGAUGUGUGGCAAGUUGCAUGUGGGCCUGUCUUUCAUCUAUCCAGUGAUGUGCAACGUGAUCAUCACUGCCCUCUGUGUCCAAGACUCAGACAUGGGUGGAAUCCGCUCCUUCAAGAAGACUGUGCGAGAACAGCUGGUCACUGGCUUCAAACUGGAGUCUGAUGGUCUCGCAGAGUCAGUCCCAGUAGUCACCUUCAAACAUCUCCAGUUCCUUCCAGAACGCAUAAGAGAUUAUGCCCGUGACCACCUGCAUGAGCUGCUUCAGGAUGAGAUGACCAGCACCCAGCCCCUGACCCCAGACGGCUGCUACAGUUGAAAAUGAUGAUGAUGUCCAAGCUGCUGAAGAUAAAGCUGAUGAAGUAAUCAAGACUGGAAAAUGAUUUUGAGCAGCUUUUUGGACCCCACUUUGAGAGCGGCGCAAAGAGGCUCACUCCACUCCAGAUGCCGAACUCCGUGCAUAUUGCGUAACCCCUCAACUUCCAAUGAUGGAGAAUCCACUGCAGUGGUGGGCCCGCAACCAGCCCGACUUUCCUUGUUUAGCCAAACUGGCUUACCGCUACUUGGCUGUUCCAGCCACGAGCACCCCCAGCAAAAGGGUGUUCUCUCUGGCCAGGAAUACUAUCACCCAACAGCGUGCAAGCUUUCAUCCAGCACAUGUGGAUAAUCUAAUCUUUUUGCAUGAAAACCUGCAUUGCAAGUGCGCCAGGACUGUGAAAGAGGAAUAUGAGGGCGACUGUGAAUAGGGCUACUUUGAUUUUAAGCAAGUGUGUUUUAAUUUUUCUGUUAAUUUGUUAAUAAAAGUUACUCAUUGUUGGACAGCCGUGUUCCUCCAAUGUGUCAAUGUGAUGACGUCAUCAAACGACUUGUCGACUCGACUUCGACUUUAUUGACAGAUAAGUCGACCUGAAAAAGACUUAAGUCAUUAAUACCCUAGUCCACUAGAGAAAGGACUAUGACAUACUGCAAAGGUCACCACAUGGAAUAAAACAAAGGAAGUGGUGUUAUGCAAUUCCUCCACUUAACCACUACAUCAUCAGUAUGCCCCUCUCCUUUUCAUGCACAAAGCAUUAAAUAAGAUGCUUGCUUUGGUAUAUCAUUUAACAGUUAAUCUGAUCCUGAUGAAACACUCAGUGGGAUGUUUUUGAAUUCAACUUCAAUAGAGCUUAAAUAUUUUUUUAUAUUUUUCUCUUCUUUUGAUGUGAAUUUGAAUUUGAACUGCUUUUGCAUGGUGGCAUUUAUUCAUUCCCACCAUGUCCUGCUAUGAAUAAUGCCACCACACCACAGACUUUUCCUUGCAAUCAGGCUUUCAGAAUAACCUGUAAACUGAUACUGAGUACUGGGUGUCUAUGUGAAAGGAAGCUGUUCAAAUAGGUAUGAAAGAAUAGGUUCAUGUGUAAAAAUCAAUAAACAUUUCAGUGUGUAAUGUGCAGCUUGGUAUUCAGUGGUGGUGUGAAACCUGUUUCAUGUUGGGAAUCAGGAAAUGAUGGUGAGCAUUUGAAAGGCUCCCUCUGGACAAACAGCCCCUCAUUUUUUUUUUACCUUUUGUAUUACUUAUUGUGUUUUCAAUUAAAUAACACCUGUAUCUCAUUGUGAAUGGCAUAAUGAUGUAUUCACAGAGGUUAUGAGGCAAAUUAUACCAAGUUCAUGCCAGUUUGACUAUGGGGUCAUUCGUGUUUAUUUGUGUUAUUCUUGCGAAUUUGACCACAGGAUUAUUUGUGUUUAAUUGCUCCAAACAUGAUUAAAUUUUCAAAACUUCACCUGGUGUAAAGUCACAUGUAUUCACGUCUUUGCAUUGACUUUGCAAGAUACAUUUGCUUUAUGUUUUGUUGAGAACACACCAUCUUGAUUUGAAAUGAUGAUGAAAUGUAGAAAUAGGUCAUCAUAUCCAAAGUUAGAAUUCCAAAAUUUUCUUCAUUAAAGAUUUAUCUGUUUUCAUAACUGGAUUAGGGUCUUGCGUGAUAGCUGAAGAUACAUUUGAUACACUUGGUCAGUCUUAUGACUGAGACCUUCACCCAGUUUCUCACUUUAUAAUGUAGGUAGGUAAGGAUAUGCUGAGAUUAACUGCCUGUCUAUAGUGUCAUGUAUAAUCAAGUCAGCAAAAAUUGUAGCAUGUAUGGUAUUAGCUUGUUAGCCUCACCCUCUGUAAUUUUUCAGAUGUUUAAUGACUUUAUGGAUAGUUAGUGCACAGUGAUAUAGGACAUGGUUGGGUUAGCAUGUUUGCAAAAAGAAUAAUAUGUUGAUAUGUCAUUAAUGUUGUGUAAAUCAUGUUUUUCUUUAAUAAAUUAAUGUUUACUAGCAA